rnacentral:rRNA from 1 species
AGGAUAAACGCUGGCGGCGUGCCUAACACAUGCAAGUCGAACGCGCUUUCGGGCUUCGGUGCGAGAGCGAGUGGCGGACGGGUGAGUAACACAUGGGUACCUGCCUUUCAGUGAGGGAUACCGGCGAGAAAUCGCCGACAAUACCGCAUGGGCUUGUGGGAACACAAGCAAAGUGGCGCAAGUCACGCUGGAAGAUGGGCCUGUGGCCGAUUAGCUAGUUGGGGGGGUAACGGCCUCCCAAGGCGACGAUCGGUAGCUGGUCUGAGAGGACGAUCAGCCACACUGGGAUUGAGAACGGCCCAGACUCCUACGGGGGCAGCAGUGAGGAAUUUUCCGCAAUGGACGAAGUCUGACGGAGCAACGCCGCGUGCAGGAGGAAGGUUUUCGGAUCGUAAACUGCUUUUCGUCGGGGACGAGCGAAGGACGGUACCCGAGGAAGAACGCCCGGCUAACUACGUGCCAGCAGCCGC